rnacentral:rRNA from 1 species
GACGUAGGGCGCGAGCGUUGUCCGGAUUUAUUGGGCGUAAAGAGCUCGUAGGCGGCUUGUCGCGUCGACCGUGAAACCUCACAGCUCAACUGUGAGCCUGCGGUCGAUACGGGCAGGCUAGAGUUCGGUAGGGGAGACUGGAAUUCCUGGUGUAGCGGUGAAAUGCGCAGAUAUCAGGAAGAACACCUAUGGCGAAGGCAGCUCUCUGGGACGGUACUGACGCUGAGACGCGAAAGCGUGGGGAGCGAACAGG